GGGUUGUGAGGUUAAGCGACUAAGCGUACACGGUGGAUGCCCUGGCAGUCAGAGGCGAUGAAGGGCGUACUAAUCUGCGAUAAGCGCCGGUAAGGUGAUAUGAACCGUUAUAACCGGCGAUACCCGAAUGGGGAAACCCAGUGUGACUCGUCACACUAUCAUUAACUGAAUCCAUAGGUUAAUGAGGCGAACCGGGGGAACUGAAACAUCUAAGUACCCCGAGGAAAAGAAAUCAACCGAGAUUCCCCCAGUAGCGGCGAGCGAACGGGGAGGAGCCCAGAGCCUGAAUCAGCAUGUGUGUUAGUGGAAGCGUCUGGAAAGGCGCGCGAUACAGGGUGACAGCCCCGUACACAAAAGCGCAUGUGCUGUGAGCUCGAUGAGUAGGGCGGGACACGUGGUAUCCUGUCUGAAUAUGGGGGGACCAUCCUCCAAGGCUAAAUACUCCUGACUGACCGAUAGUGAACCAGUACCGUGAGGGAAAGGCGAAAAGAACCCCGGCGAGGGGAGUGAAAAAGAACCUGAAACCGUGUACGUACAAGCAGUGGGAGCACCCUUUGGGUGUGACUGCGUACCUUUUGUAUAAUGGGUCAGCGACUUAUAUUCUGUAGCAAGGUUAACCGAAUAGGGGAGCCGGAGGGAAACCGAGUCUUAAUUGGGCGUUAAGUUGCAGGGUAUAGACCCGAAACCCGGUGAUCUAGCCAUGGGCAGGUUGAAGGUUGGGUAACACUAACUGGAGGACCGAACCGACUAAUGUUGAAAAAUUAGCGGAUGACCUGUGGCUGGGGGUGAAAGGCCAAUCAAACCGGGAGAUAGCUGGUUCUCCCCGAAAGCUAUUUAGGUAGCGCCUCGUGAAUUCAUCUCCGGGGGUAGAGCACUGUUUCGGCUAGGGGGCCAUCCCGGCUUACCAACCCGAUGCAAACUGCGAAUACCGGAGAAUGUUAUCACGGGAGACACACGGCGGGUGCUAACGUCCGUCGUGAAGAGGGAAACAACCCAGACCGCCAGCUAAGGUCCCAAAGUCAUGGUUAAGUGGGAAACGAUGUGGGAAGGCCCAGACAGCCAGGAUGUUGGCUUAGAAGCAGCCAUCAUUUAAAGAAAGCGUAAUAGCUCACUGGUCGAGUCGGCCUGCGCGGAAGAUGUAACGGGGCUAAACCAUGCACCGAAGCUGCGGCAGCGACACUGUGUGUUGUUGGGUAGGGGAGCGUUCUGUAAGCCUGUGAAGGUGUGUCGUGAGGCAUGCUGGAGGUAUCAGAAGUGCGAAUGCUGACAUAAGUA
rnacentral:rRNA from 1 species